AUUGAACGCUGGCGGCAGGCCUAACACAUCCAAGUCGAACGAGUGGCGGACGGGUGAGUAAUUUCUGGGAAACUGCCUGAUGGAGGGGGAUAACUACUGGAAAAGGUAGCUAAUACCGCAUACCAUCGGAUGUGCACAGAUGGGAUUAGCUAUGAGGUGGGGUAAAGGCUCACCUAGGCGACGAUCUCUAGCUGGUAUGAGAGGAUGCCCAGCCAGACGGGAAAUGAGACACGGUCCAGACUCCGACGGAAGGCAGCAGUGGGGAAGAGUGCACAAAGGGCGCAAGACUGAUGCGUCGAUGCCGCGUGUAUGAGGAAGGCCUUAGGGUUGUAGAGUACUUACAGCGUGGAGGCGUUACCCGCAUAAGAAGCGCCAGCUAAGUCCGUGCCAGCAGCCGCGGUAAUAC
rnacentral:rRNA from 1 species